rnacentral:misc_RNA from 1 species
AACUUUGAAAACUCUCAACUAGUACAAGAAACCCUAACAAACAACUUAUGCAUCUAAAAUUCUUACAAAACCAAAACAAAAGAAAAAAAAAAAAUCAAUUUCAUUACAUAAAAUCUCAAAUCAAAACUCACAUCCAACAACUUUAAAAACAUCUUUCUCAUAGCCUUUUCACACUCUUAUCAAAAUCAAAAAGCAAAGAAAAUAAAGCAUGCAUUUCACACUUUCUCCAAAAAUCAUCCUAAGAGACUUACCUUUCCGUGAAGGUUCACAAAAUAACUUAACCACUUUAAUCCACUCCUAGCUUCUCACUAGGGAAUGAACUACCACAAGUCCCUUGCUCACAAGGAU